AUUGAACGCUGGCGGCAUGCUUUACACAUGCAAGUCGAACGGCAGCGCGGGCUUCGGCCUGGCGGCGAGUGGCGAACGGGUGAGUAAUGCAUCGGAACGUGCCCAGUAGUGGGGGAUAGCCCGUCGAAAGCCGGAUUAAUACCGCAUACGACCUGCGGGUGAAAGCGGGGGACCGAAAGGCCUCGCGCUAUUGGAGCGGCCGAUGUCGGAUUAGCUAGUUGGUGGGGUAAAGGCUUACCAAGGCGACGAUCCGUAGCUGGUCUGAGAGGACGACCAGCCACACUGGGACUGAGACACGGCCCAGACUCCGACGGGAGGCAGCAGUGGGGAAUGUUGGACAAUGGGGGCAACCCUGAUCCAGCCAUGCCGCGUGCGGGAAGAAGGCCUUCGGGUUGUAAACCGCUUUUGUUCGGGAAGAAAUCCUCUGGGCUAAUACCCAGGGGGGAUGACGGUACCGGAAGAAUAAGCACCGGCUAACUACGUG
rnacentral:rRNA from 1 species